CAAGUAUCGUAAACAGAAGCAGUCACCCCCUGGAAAUAUUCAAAAUGGCACAUGUCCAGGGGGGUUACUGCUUCUGUUUACGGUACUUG
rnacentral:miRNA from 1 species